GAGAAUCAUCUCUCCCAGAUAACGGCACUCUCAAACAGGUUUCCAGGUUGUUUGAAAGGCUGUUUCUUGAUCAGAAGACUCUCAAUUCCUUCCGGA
ensembl:miRNA